GGGCCCGUAGCUCAGCUGGUAGAGCAGUUGACUCUUAAUCAAUUGGUCGCAGGUUCGAGUCCUGCCGGGCCCGCCA
rnacentral:tRNA from 4 species